GCAGUUUAUUAGGGAUAAGUACAGAUUAGAGAGGGAUUCUAAACACAAGCGUCAAGAAAGAAAGAUCAGGUGAAUAUUGACCAAAAUCGUCCAAACAUAAAUAUACACCCAAGAAGCAUAUGCUUUAAGCUUGGUGCUUGUGCUUUAAGAGCCGUGAAUGAGAUCACCGGGCAAAGCAAGCAAAAGCUUUAUCAGGGACCAAAAUAGAGACAAGAUGGAGUGUCAACAAUUAGGCCCCAUCUCCAACUGAACCACAAGGAAGAUGCAACUCUGGAUCUGACCCAACGAAAGAUCAUAACUUUGAGAUCACCAGAAGAAAGAGAAGGGAAGCAGUUGGCUUAGCUUAUCGAGAAAUUGGGAAGUGG
rnacentral:misc_RNA from 1 species